CCGCCCGGGCUCCGCGUGCGGAGGGGGCGCCCCCUAGGCCGGGGAGCGGGGGAUCCCCAGGGGUCGCGGGGUCCGGGAGGAGCGGGCACCGGACGCGGACACGGUGGGGUGCAUCCCGAGAGCCUCCUCCGGGGCAGAUGCUUCCUGCGGGGGCGCUGUUCCUGGGCCCGGGAAGGGGGCGUUGGAACCCCGAGCGGUCCGGGCCGAAGCCUGGGACUCUCAGCAGACUCUGCAGGUCCUCUCAGAUCUUGUGCGGAAGGCCAGGAGUCGGAACAUUGGCAUCUUCCAUCCAUCCUUCAACUUAACCAAGUUCCUCCGACAGGGUCUCUACAAAUACCUCCCAGCCAACGUCCACCAGCUCAUCUCCGGCAAAAUAUGCAUCUCACUCACCAGAGUGUCUGAUGGGAAAAACGUUCUGGUGUCUGACUUUCGGUCCAAAGACGAAGUCGUGGAUGCCUUGAUAUGUUCCUGCUUUAUCCCUUUCUACAGUGGCCUUAUCCCUCCUUCCUUCAGAGGCGUGCGAUAUGUGGAUGGAGGAGGGAGUGAUAACGUACCCUUCAUUGAUGCCAAAACAACCAUCACCGUGUCCCCCUUCUAUGGGGAGUACGAUAUCUGCCCUAAAGUCAUGUCCACGAACUUUCUUCACGUUGACAUCACCAAGCUCAGCCUACGCCUCUGCACAGGGAACCUCUACCUUCUCUCGAGAGCAUUUGUGCCCCCGGAUCUCAAG
rnacentral:sRNA from 1 species